rnacentral:rRNA from 1 species
UACGGGGGGGGCAAGCGUUGUUCGGAAUUACUGGGCGUAAAGGGCUCGUAGGCGGCCAACUAAGUCAGACGUGAAAUCCCUCGGCUUAACCGGGGAACUGCGUCUGAUACUGGAUGGCUUGAGAUUGGGAGAGGGAUGCGGAAUUCCAGGUGUAGCGGUGAAAUGCGUAGAUAUCUGGAGGAACACCGGUGGCGAAGGCGGCAUCCUGGACCAACACUGACACUGAGGAGCGAAAGCCAGGGGAGCAAACGGG